AGUGAACGCUGGCGGUAGGCCUAACACAUGCAAGUCGAACGGCAGCACAGUAAGAGCUUGCUCUUACGGGUGGCGAGUGGCGGACGGGUGAGGAAUACAUCGGAAUCUACUUUUUCGUGGGGGAUAACGUAGGGAAACUUACGCUAAUACCGCAUACGACCUACGGGUGAAAGCAGGGGAUCUUCGGACCUUGCGCGAUUGAAUGAGCCGAUGUCGGAUUAGCUAGUUGGCGGGGUAAAGGCCCACCAAGGCGACGAUCCGUAGCUGGUCUGAGAGGCUGGUCGGCCACACUGGAACUGAGACACGGUCCAGACUCCUACGGGAGGCAGCAGUGUGGAAUAUUGGACAAUGGGCGCAAGCCUGAUCCAGCCAUACCGCGUGGGUGAAGAAGGCCUUCGGGUUGGAAAGCCCUUUUGUUGGGAAAGAAAAGCAGCAGGUUAAUACCCCGCGGUUCUGACGGUACCCAAAGAAUAAGCACCGGCUAACUUCGUG
rnacentral:rRNA from 1 species